rnacentral:lncRNA from 1 species
CCAACAGAGAUGGCAAGAUUUCGCGUUGGUCUGGAUUCUCUGCUGUGAGAUUGGUCCGGUAAGUUUUUUUAUGAUAAACUAAAACUGAGGAACCCACAUAAGUUGGGUUUUUUUUUCCCCAACACGGACCCACAUAAGUUAGGAUCAGAUUAUCUUCGGUUAAUUGCGUGGUUUAUGAUUUAAAACUGGGUGUAAUACUAGUGUAAAAGCAAGAUUGAGGUUUAUGGUUUUUGUAGCUUUU